rnacentral:sRNA from 1 species
GGAGUUCAAGACCAGCCUGGCCAACAUGGAGAAACCCUGUUUCUACUAAAAAUAUAAAAAAUUAGCCGGCCAUGGUGGCUCACGACUGUAAUCCCAGCUAUUCAGGAGGCUGCAGCAGGAGAAUCGCUUGAACCAGGGAGUCGGAGGUUGCAGUGAGCCAAGAUCAUGCCACUGCACUCCAGCCUGGGUGACAAGAGCAAGACUCUGUCUCUAAAAAAAAAAAAGUCUACACCCUGCCAAACAUGGAACCCCUUUGUGGCCACGCCCCCAAAAUUGUCCAACAUGUGGUUGGGCGGCCCUGCAGCAAGCCCCCUGCCCCCUGAACCAGGCACAGAAUCCUGACCCCCUCUCCCUUCCGUCUUGGUCAGUGCCCAGCGCACCCGUGAUCGACCUGGCUGAGUCCCUGGUGGCAGAUAACUGUGUGACCCUGGUGUGGCGCAUGCCGGACGAGGACAGCAAGAUUGACCACUACGUGCUGGAGUACCGGCGGACCAACUUCGAGGGCCCACCCCGCCUCAAGGAGGACCAGCCCUGGAUGGUCAUCGAGGGCAUCCGGCAGACAGAGUACACCCUGACAGGUCUCAAGUUUGACAUGAAAUACAUGAACUUCCGUGUGAAGGCCUGUAACAAGGCAGUUGCAGGAGAGUUCUCUGAGCCGGUGACUCUGGAGACACCAGCGUUCAUGUUCCGCCUGGAUGCGUCCACAUCCCACCAGAACCUGCGGGUGGAUGAUCUCUCCGUGGAGUGGGACGCUAUGGGCGGGAAGGUGCAGGAUAUCAAGGCUCGCGAGAAAGAUGGCAAGGGGCGGACGGCAUCUCCCAUCAACUCCCCGGCCAGAGGUACUCCAUCUCCCAAGAGGAUGCCCUCAGGUCGUGGGGGACGGGACCGCUUCACCGCUGAGUCCUACACAGUUCUGGGGGACACGCUGAUCGACGGCGGGGAGCAUUACUGGGAGGUGCGCUACGAGCCGGACAGCAAGGCGUUCGGCGUGGGCGUGGCCUACCGCAGCCUGGGCCGCUUCGAGCAACUGGGCAAGACGGCCGCCUCCUGGUGCCUGCACGUCAACAAUUGGCUGCAGGUCAGCUUCACGGCCAAGCACGCCAACAAGGUCAAGGUGCUGGACGCCCCCGUGCCCGACUGCCUGGGUGUGCACUGUGACUUCCACCAAGGCCUCCUGUCCUUCUACAAUGCCCGCACCAAACAAGUGCUGCACACUUUCAAGACCAGGUUCACACAGCCGCUGCUGCCUGCUUUCACGGUAUGGUGUGGCAGCUUCCAGGUGACGACAGGCCUGCAGGUCCCCAGUGCUGUGCGCUGCCUGCAAAAGCGAGGCAGUGCUACCAGCAGCUCCAACACCAGCCUCACCUAGGCCCCCAGGCACCCACCCAGCUGGGGUGUUUUUGGGGGAGCUGCCGCCAGGCCCAGGCUGCUGGAGCCAGGCACCUUCCUCUGUCACUUGCUGCUUGGAGCCUGAACUCCAGAUGGGGGGGUCACCAAGAGGGAGUGGGCACCCUGGCGGGCCCUCUCCCCACCUCACCUCUUAAUAAAGGUCAGACACUGGCCAGGCCA